rnacentral:rRNA from 1 species
UACGUAGGGUCCGAGCGUUGUCCGGAAUUACUGGGCGUAAAGAGCUCGUAGGUGGUUUGUCGCGUUGUUCGUGAAAACUCACAACUCAAUUGUGGGCGUGCGGGCGAUACGGGCAGACUAGAGUACUGCAGGGGAGACUGGAAUUCCUGGUGUAGCGGUGAAAUGCGCAGAUAUCAGGAGGAACACCGGUGGCGAAGGCGGGUCUCUGGGUAGUAACUGACGCUGAGGAACGAAAGCGUGGGUAGCGAACAGG